rnacentral:rRNA from 1 species
CGGUUGAUCCUGCCGGACCUGACUGCUAUCGGAUUGAUACUAAGCCAUGCGAGUCUUUGCAGUAAUGCAAGGCAUACGGCUCAGUAACACGUAGUCAACUUACCCUAUGGACGAGGAUAAUCUCGGGAAACUGAGCAUAAUACUCGAUAGAUCAUAAUGCCUGGAAUGGUUUAUGGUUAAAAUGAUUCAUCGCCAUAGGAUGGGACUGCGGCCUAUCAGCUUGUUGGUGAGGUAAUGGCCCACCAAGGCGAUUACAGGUACGGGCUCUGAGAGGAGAAGCCCGGAGAUGGGUACUGAGACAAGGACCCAGGCCCUAUGGGGCGCAGCAGGCGAGAAAACUUUGCAAUGUGCGAAAGCACGACAAGGUUAAUCCGAGUGAUUUCUGCUAAAGAAAUCUUUUGCAAGUCAUAAAACCACUAGUGAAUAAGGGGUGGGCAAGUUCUGGUGUCAGCCGCCGCGGUAAAACCAGCACCUCAAGUGGUCAGGAGGAUUAUUGGGCCUAAAGCAUCCGUAGCCGGCUCUGUAAGUUUUCGGUUAAAUCCAUGUGCUCAACACAUGGGCUGCCGAAAAUACUGCAUAGCUAGGGAGUGGGAGAGGUAGACGGUACUCGGUAGGAAGGGGUAAAAUCCUUUGAUCUAUCGAUGACCACCUGUGGCGAAGGCGGUCUACCAGAACACGUUCGACGGUGAGGGAUGAAAGCUGGGGGAGCAAACCGGAUUAGAUACCCGGGUAGUCCCAGCUGUAAACGAUGCAGACUCGAUGAUGCAUUGGCAUAUAGCCAGUGCAGUGUCGCAGGGAAGCCGUUAAGUCUACCGCCUGGGAAGUACGUACGCAAGUAUGAAACUUAAAGGAAUUGGCGGGGGAGCACCACAAGGGGUGAAGCCUGCGGUUCAAUUGGAUUCAACGCCGGG